rnacentral:piRNA from 1 species
UACAUAAACAAUAAUCGACGGCAGGUAGUC